AUACGGAGGGUGCAAGCGUUACUCGGAAUCACUGGGCGUAAAGGACGCGUAGGCGGCUUCAUAAGUCAGGUGUGAAAGCCCACGGCUCAACCGUGGAACUGCACUUGAAACUGUGAUGCUAGAGUCUGGGAGAGGCAGAUGGAAUUGGUGGUGUAGGGGUAAAAUCCGUAGAGAUCACCAGGAAUACCGAUGGCGAAGGCGAUCUGCUGGAACAGUACUGACGCUGAGGCGUGAAAGCGUGGGGAGCAAACAGGAUUAGAAACCCUAGUAGUCU
rnacentral:rRNA from 1 species